GGGACCCUGCUCAGUCACUCCAGGUGCCAUCGACAAACGUCAUGUGUUAACUUGGGUUAUGGGUCAAAGGGUCUCCCAAGGCUCCGUCUCUUCUGCUCCAUUUGCAGGGAUUUGCAAGGUCACAAACCAGCUGAGCACCUUCUUGGCUAUGGAACAGCUGCUACAGCAAGCAGGGACCGAGCGCACAGUGGAUGUCUUCAGUGUGGCCCUGAAGCAGACACAGGCCUGUGGCCUUAAGACCCCAACGCUGGAGCAGUAUAUCUACCUCUACAACUGUCUGAACAGCGCAUUGAGGAACAGGCUGCCCCGAGCUAGGAAGUGACCUUGCCCUGCUAGGCAUCACGUUCCAGCAAUCCACCCAGGCCUGGCUUCCCCAGGAGAACAGAUCUAUCGGCCUCACGCUGUCAAAGGGCAGAGUCUGGGAAUAAAGAGACAUGGUCAAAC
ensembl:processed_transcript Ptprv protein tyrosine phosphatase, receptor type, V